AGCCUCAGGCUCUUCAAGGCCCUCCGUCAAGCAAUGAUGCCAUGGUCAUGGAUGAAAAGGUCAAGAAAAGCUUUGUGCUGGACACGGCUUCUGCCAUCUGCAACUACAAUGCCCACUACAAGAAUCACCCCAAAUACUGGUGCCGAGGCUAUUUCCGUGACUACUGCAACAUCAUCGCCUUCUCCCCUAACAGCACCAAUCAUGUGGCCCUGAGGGACACAGGGAACCAGCUCAUUGUCACUAUGUCCUGCCUGACCAAAGAGGACACGGGCUGGUACUGGUGUGGCAUCCAGCGGGACUUUGCCAGGGAUGACAUGGAUUUUACAGAGCUGAUUGUAACUGAUGACAAAGGAACCCUGGCCAAUGACUUUUGGUCUGGGAAAGACCUAUCAGGCAACAAAACCAGAAGCUGCAAGGCUCCCAAAGUUGUCCGCAAGGCUGACCGCUCCAGGACGUCCAUUCUCAUCAUUUGCAUACUGAUCACGGGUUUGGGAAUCAUCUCUGUAAUCAGUCAUUUGACCAAAAGGAGGAGAAGUCAAAGGAAUAGAAGGGUAGGCAACACUUUGAAGCCCUUCUCGCGUGUCCUGACUCCAAAGGAAAUGGCUCCUACUGAACAGAUGUGACUGAAGAUUUUUUUAAUUUAGUUCAUAAAGUGAUGCUACAACAGAAUAAUCACCAUGACAACUGGCCCACACCUCAGAGACUGAUUCUGAUCUCCCAGGAAUUCUGAAGGACCCUCUAUCCUUGACAACAAUCAUUUGCAGCCAGGUAGCAAUGGCGGUAGUCAGAGGAGCUAUGAUAGACCACACCCAAGCAAGGCUGCCCUCAAAUAACAUCUCAAGAUCUUAGUUCUUAUGCAUUCCAUCAGUCAGAAGUGAAGAAGAGGUGGAGAAUCUGGAUUGGGGACCAGGAAAUCACUUGUAUUUUGUUAGCCAAUAAAUUCCUAGCCAGUGUUGAAUGAA
rnacentral:sRNA from 1 species